rnacentral:rRNA from 1 species
GAUGAACGCUAGCGGGAGGCCUAACACAUGCAAGCCGAGCGGUAUUUGUCCUUCGGGACAGAGAGAGCGGCGUACGGGUGCGGAACACGUGUGCAACCUGCCUUUAUCUGGGGGAUAGCCUUUCGAAAGGAAGAUUAAUACCCCAUAAUAUAUCGAAUGGCAUCAUUCGAUAUUGAAAACUCCGGUGGAUAGAGAUGGGCACGCGCAAGAUUAGAUGGUUGGUGAGGUAACGGCUCACCAAGUCAGUGAUCUUUAGGGGGCCUGAGAGGGUGAUCCCCCACACUGGUACUGAGACACGGACCAGACUCCUACGGGAGGCAGCAGUGAGGAAUAUUGGACAAUGGGUGAGAGCCUGAUCCAGCCAUCCCGCGUGAAGGACUAAGGCCCUAUGGGUUGUAAACUUCUUUUAUACUGGGAUAAACCUACUUACGUGUAAGUAGCUGAAGGUACAGUAUGAAUAAGCACCGGCUAACUCCGUG